UAGGGAAUCUUCCGCAAUGGGCGAAAGCCUGACGGAGCAACGCCGCGUGAGUGAUGAAGGUCUUCGGAUCGUAAAACUCUGUUAUUAGGGAAGAACAAAUGUGUAAGUAACUAUGCACGUCUUGACGGUACCUAAUCAGAAAGCCACGGCUAACUACGUGCCAGCAGCCGCGGUAAUACGUAGGUGGCAAGCGUUAUCCGGAAUUAUUGGGCGUAAAGCGCGCGUAGGCGGUUUUUUAAGUCUGAUGUGAAAGCCCACGGCUCAACCGUGGAGGGUCAUUGGAAACUGGAAAACUUGAGUGCAGAAGAGGAAAGUGGAAUUCCAUGUGUAGCGGUGAAAUGCGCAGAGAUAUGGAGGAACACCAGUGGCGAAGGCGACUUUCUGGUCUGUAACUGACGCUGAUGUGCGAAAGCGUCGGGAUCAAACAGG
rnacentral:rRNA from 1 species